AUACACUGGACACAGACAGAACUAGAAUCACUCCAUAGGGAAACAUGAACAUUUACAAAAUACCAGUACCAUCACCCGAAAUCUGCCAUGGAAAGAAUUACUCUCCCAUGCAAGGAAGGAGGACAUAGCUUUAUUGACAUUCCAUAUUUACACAACAAACAGAUCUAUAGUUUGAGAGAGUUCUUCCAUAAAAAACAACAUACAUCACAGCUACACAAAGGUAUAGUCUUGGCAGAUAGAAACGUCACACUAUUAAAUCUACAGAAUGACACUCCAAACCCAAUAAACAACACUGCACACAUACAAGAAAACAUCCUGGUUUAGAAAGGAA
rnacentral:lncRNA from 1 species